rnacentral:misc_RNA from 1 species
GGUAUUAUCCAUUUCCCAAAACUUUAUCUGGAACUCAUCACCCGCAGCCAAGAAACGAUUUCUCGUAGUAUCAAACUGCACAACACCUAAUGAACGCUUUCUAAAGCCAGAGAAUGUCCUCUUGAUUGCUCCUUCACUCUCAUUCCACUCUACAAGGUGGGAUUCGCCUUCUUUACUUGUCCCACAAGAGAAAAGUCUGGUUCCAUCGGCACUAUAUGCCAUUGUUGUGCACCAAAGACCAGGAGCAUCAUAAUCUACUCUUGAUCCCAUGCCAUCAUAAAGCCAAGCUUUAAUUUUACCAUCAAUAGCCGUAGAGAAAAUAAACUGGAUACUCUCUUUGUAGUGAGGGCAGACAGAAUAUACAGGAGCUUCAUGCCCCUCAAACAUAUGUUCUCUACGACCACUUACUGCAUCCCAGACCUUGAUUGUCUUGUCAUCCCCACACGUCACUACACAGAGUUGCUUAUUAGGGUGGGAAAAUGCAAUAUCAUUAACACCACCAGCAUGAGCAUCAAUUUCUAGAUGCUGUCUCAAUUCUCCCGCUGGGCUGUAUGUGUAUAUUUGAACAAUGUGCUUUGAAAAGGCAACACCAAGUAUAGAACCAUCUGGACCCCACACGCAUCGAUUGACUGAUACCGUGGCAUCUUUGACCAAAGCUGACUGGAAUGGCAUUGAGCAUGCAGAUAUAUCCCAAACCUUGAAGGACUUAUGCGCUAACCGUUCUCGAGA